rnacentral:rRNA from 1 species
AACAGGAUUAGAUACCCUGGUAGUCCAUGCCGUAAACGAUGUCUACUAGCCGUUGGGGCCUUUGAGGCUUUAGUGGCGCAGCUAACGCGAUAAGUAGACCGCCUGGGGAGUACGGUCGCAAGACUAAAACUCAAAUGAAUUGACGGGGGCCCGCACAAGCGGUGGAGCAUGUGGUUUAAUUCGAUGCAACGCGAAGAACCUUACCUGGCCUUGACAUACUAGAAACUUUCCAGAGAUGGAUUGGUGCCUUCGGGAAUCUAGAUACAGGUGCUGCAUGUCUGUCGUCAGCUCGUGUCGUGAGAUGUUGGGUUAAGUCCCGCAACGAGCGCAACCCUUUUCCUUACUUGCCAGCAUUUCGGAUGGGAACUUUAAGGAUACUGCCAGUGACAAACUGGAGGAAGGCGGGGACGACGUCAAGUCAUCAUGGCCCUUACGGCCAGGGCUACACACGUGCUACAAUGGUCGGUACAAAGGGUUGCUACACAGCGAUGUGAUGCUAAUCUCAAAAAGCCGAUCGUAGUCCGGAUUGGAGUCUGCAACUCGACUCCACGAAGUCGGAAUCGCUAGUAAUCGCGGAUCAGAAUGCCGCGGUGAAUACGUUCCCGGGCCUUGUACACACCGCCCGUCACACCAUGGGAGUUUUGUUGCACCAGAAGUAGGUAGUCUAACCGCAAGGAGGACGCUUACCACGGUGUGGCCGAUGACUGGGGUGAAGUCGUAACAAGGUUAACC